CCCUUGUUCAGUUAGAAAGAAACCAAAGUCUGAAAAUUCACAGACGAUAUGGGUGUGGCUUACUUAAUACAACCCACAGAGCUGUUAAAACGAUGAGCAUGCUGCUAAGGGUCAAUGGAAAAUAAACAGUCCAGGGUACCCUUAUGGCAUGUCCUCUUAACUGUCCCAGAAAACAGGAGUAUGUGGGUCCUAAUCAUGUCAGGUUUGCAGAUAUUAGAGUCCUGAGGAAGAGGAUGAGAUGGGAGAGUAGAGGAUUUGUCUUGAAGGUCUUUGCUUUUCUACCUGCUACCCAGUGCUGCCCUGUCUCCAUCCAGCCACAGUCCUUUCUACAUCACUGGCUCACCCGCAUUCCCAGUAUCCAUCUGCACGGUCUGAGAACAGGACUUCUCUGUGUUUCAUGGGAAUCACAAACUGAGAGAACAGAUCAAGAGUAUGCAGAAGAUAAUGUGACAAAGAGAAAACAUGCGGAGCAGAGCUGAACUAUUUAACAAAAGACAGAGGAAUGAGAGCAUCACUUGUGCGAAGAAAAGAAAGCUUAAACCUGGAGCAGAGAGGCACGGCUACUCUCACCACUGCUUGAGACCCUUUUCUGGCUUUCCGAUAAAUGUAGAGGAGGAUGGGGUGGGGUGGCCGUUUGGACAGACCAGUGAUCAACCACCCCCUUGCUUUUAAUUUUACGGUCUGGAAGAUCAGCUUACGCCUGCUUCUUCCUCAUAGCCCUAACCCUCUCCCAGCCUUCUACAGUGCAGUGCUUGGAAAUGCUGUUGGGCCCAUCUACCAAACCAGGUCGGGAUGGGCAACAACAACAACAAAACCCUGACUGCAUGGCUUAGCCACGGUGCAGCCACAGUGACCUUAGGAGGUCACACAGGAAGCAGUGUCACCUGGACAGGCUGCCUUCAAUGCCUAAGGCCUGCUGCCCGUUCAGCUUAGGGGAGAAACUAUUCCACAGUUUUAUUAAGACCAUUUCUGGAGGUCGUUACAAUUAGUAACAGGGUGCAACUUUUUACAGUCUAUAGAAUAACUCGGGGAAACAAAUUAUUAAGUUGUUCUAAAUCAAGUAAUUAUCAGGGAUAGAGAAAACCUGAGGUUAUAUAUGAUGAAUGAAUAAAUGGAAUAUAUGUUUCAAUUUCCAGGAAUAAAUUGGCCAUCUGUUUACCCUAAAGAGAUA